GCUUCCAUGUAAAUUACCUGCAAAGCUUUUCACUUGGCAUAAGUACCUUGAUUUAGAUGGUAUGUGCAGAUACGAAAAGUUUGUUUCUGACGCCGAACAAGUAAUAGAAACUAGAUAUUCUAUGAAAAUAUCCACUAGUAAGAAAUUCAACCAAAACAACAGAGUAUUUUCCUCCUAGACAAAUCAAAUUCAAGCAAAUUUACUCCAAUCUCAUAGUAUUCCACCAUGUCAUUCAAUCAAGAUUUCUCUCUUCGAAGAGCCAUCAAUAAGUUCAAAAGGUUGAUUAAAAAAUGAUAAGCAUGCACAAAUAACAACCAAUAUAUACAUACUGUUAGUCCUGCACAUUCACCAUUGACACAAACUGUUUCAUUUAGUGCCUCCCCAACACCUCGACCAUCAUCAUAGAGCAAUCUCCUGUACAAUAUACAAUAAUAAAUAAAACAUAAAAUCAGUCUAGUUAUAUAAAUUGAAUGUCACAUAAAAAAACACGUCUGAUUUCAACUGAAGUACUUUGUUCAUCUUAUGUUAACUUACCUAUGAAGCAUAAGCUCAAUUUGCCCAUCCAGUAUGCUAGAACCACCAACAGAACGAUCUACCAGUACUGAGAAUUCUGUGCUAUCAUCUUGCAUGUAAAUUCCAAGAUUGAUCUGAAAUAGCACAAUACGAAUAUAAAGCCUGUCCAUUUAAAGAUAAUAAUAUAUAAUAUGCUACCCAGUUUCCACUCAUCUUUUUUUACUUUUAUCCUCAUAGAAUAACUCUAUUUACAUGAAAAGAAUAUCUAUUAGACACCUCAUUUAAGUUUUGGAAGAAAAAUAAAAAGGACAGGAGUGUUCAUCUGAACCAUAAACCUACAGGGUAAUAGUUUCCGGCAACAGGUUGGUUAACUUGUAACUCCAGAUCUGAUCUGUAAUCUCGGACCUGCAGAUGAUGUAAGAUUCUAAUACAGUGAGAAAGCCUCUUCUCAUGAAUGCUGCUAUCAUAAAUUCUACUAUGGAGGUUAUAAACAACGCACCGGAACAAGAACUGGAUAAGCCAUGAAAGCAGUGAAUAAACACUUUAAAAAAGCAUUGCUAAUGACCAAGGUAAGGUUGUCGUUCUGUGACCUGGAUUACUAAGGCUCAAGUCACGAAAAUAUCCUCUUACAGCUUAAGAUCAUCGAUUGCAAAACCAACCAGUUUGGUAUGAUUCAUCCAGUAUCUAUCAGUCUGACCAUCAACCAGCAACAGGGGUGUGUGUGUGUGUGUAUAUAUAUAAUUUUUCUUACAACCUUAACCAGGGUUUGCAAUGCGACUCCUUGCGAGGAAUUUUGUGUCUGCUCUCCACCCAUCGUCGCCUGCAUGCUGCUGACUGUAUGCUCCUCGCUCCAAUACAUCACUUCCUCUUCCUUCUUCCUCCCAACUUUUCCCUUCCCCAACAAUAUUGUGGUAUGCUGAACACAUGGUACACGAGGCAGACCAAACCCAUACCAGUCCGAUCAUGGACCGGCAUGGAACCGGUGACCAAUACUGAACACAGAUUCACCCUUCCUAGCCCAUGCCUUGGUGAGAGUGUCAAGUCCUUGAUACAUUUGUUUUGGAGACCAUUCUUCUUUUUAAUGAUAGAUUUAGUUUGUAGAUUUUUAUCUACAAAGGAUGAUGGAAACAUCUUGUACAAGUGAAAUCUUUAAUCAAGAUUUGUAAUUUUCAAUCAAACCAAGUUUUGAUUUCUUACAUGUUUUUCCUCAUUGACAUCCUUUUUCUUUUCCUUAAGCAACCAAAGGAUCAAGGAACUAAAGUAGAAACAUUGGAGAUAUUGCCAUGUGGCAUCUUACAACAUAUUCAAAAUACCCCUAAACUAAUGAAAUUUAUUCAAAUUAGAAAUAAUAGUCCUGCAGCAACCCUCCCCUCUUCUCUCCCUCUUUCUCUCUAGUUCAAACUUAUACAUGUAUUAGUACAACAUUGAUCCAUAGUUUAAAACCUUGAUCUGUCUGAUCAUUGGUUCACAGAGUAACACUGACACAAGAAAUUUAUGAUCUAUAAUUCUAUGAACCUGGGAAUAACAAUAAACUCUCUGGCAAUCGAAUCCAUAGUUUCCACCACACCAAAAAAGAUGAAAAGUAGUGGCAGUUUACAGGGCAUAUGAAGCAUGAAAAACAUAAAACAAUUUUUUGUAUAAGCUGCCCCAUUAAACCUGCAACAACUAUUUCAGAUAAAUAAAAUUAAAAGAGUCUGAAUGGUUAUCAAAAAAGACCUCUACAUAUGCUCGUAUAUUUAAUUGCAUCUGGCAAUGACCAGCUAGUCCGAGAUGUGCUUCUAUUUCUUCCAGUUGAGAAAAAUCAAAUCAAAUAGAAAGUGAUAAAUUAUAAGAACAUACAAUUGCAUAUUUUCAAGGCAUCCCAAGACUUCUCAUGUGCCGUCAAUAUAUGAAAGUAACUUUUAUUGGUUGUUUCUCAUUUACUCUGAAUGAAUCAUAUACACAUUUCACUGGAAGUGCAAAUAUGAAGAAAUAGACAUAUUAAACAUCGGUCAACUUCAAGCCAAAGUUUAACAUGCCAAUAUAAUGUAAUUCUUUGGUAACACUUGAAAAAUAUAGUAAAUUAUGUAGCACAAAUACCCUUUUAAUAAAAUCGCGUCCAUUGGAAUCUGUGUAGAAUGUUUUAUUCGUCGCCAUGCCUGUUGUAAUUUUAGUCACUAUUUCCUUCCCAAUUUCAUCAUCAACUGGUAUUGGCCCGACCUAACAUGACCAUAUAUCAGUGUAAGAUCUUCAUUAGUAACAACCAGCAUGAGCACUAGGUAAGGUAUUAAUUGUGAAAAACAUAGGAACCCUAAAAGCUCUAAUAAAAAAUUCUUUACUGUAAAUUCCACUUCUGCAUGCUCCUUGUCCUUGUAAACCCUGGAAACCUGCACAUAGAGAUACCAUAUUUACUAGUUGAGUAGUGAAAUUUGUGUUGGUCAGCAUCCCUAAACUGUUUAGCCUUUCCUGAAACUGUUUACUAGUUGAGUAGUGAAAUUUGUGUUGGUCAGCAUCCCUAAAUUUGUUAUUGCCAAUCUUAUGUUCCCAUGUUAUCUCUAAUUCAGUUUUGACUAUGUAGUUUGAAAAACUGAACUACUCUAAAUUCACAUGAUUCUCAAUUAUCUGAUAUGGGAAACAAAAAUGCAGAACAGAUGAUAUUUGAGUCCAGAGGAGUGCAAAUUGGAGAGAAUUCGGUCAGAUUGCAUGCAUUAUAUGGUUCAUCUAAGUCCACUAAAAGUGCACAGAUUACAAAUGUUUCAGAGAGGACUUAUGCCAGUGUCUUGUUUUUUAUUUUUAUGAAAUCUUGCUCAGUGCAUAUAUGUAAUGUUAAGGUUAGCUGUCAUGAUAAUAGGAGAACUGGGAUUUUUUGACAGAAAGAUAAAAGGAUCCCUGGUACAGAAAAAGCAAAAAUAAUAAAAUAGAGACAGGAAUUCAGUUUUCUUUACCCAAAAGAGAAUAUAAUUAAUUUAAAAGCCCAUUACAAAAGGCGACUCCAAAUAGUCGAAAGUUGUAAUGGAUAUGAGUCCUUCAGAUACAAUUCAUCAUUUGGUUCCUUCCAAGAUUAGCAAGCUGGCAGCUUAAUUGACCUCUUUAUAGAUGUCUACACAAUUCAAAUUUUGAAAAUAUCCAAAUCAACUUCAAGAACAUUCGGUAUGAUUUCAAGGUGCCUAUCCACUCCAAAGAAUUUAAAUUCCAUUAGGUAGAGUCAGCAAGUUAGCACACCAUCCAAAUGCCGCAAGUGAAUUUUUCUUAUUUAUCAAGUAUUUUAUUUUUUAUACCAAGCUGCUACAUAAAAAGCAAAAAAAAUAUAUACAUAUGUGUGUGUGUGUGGUUUGGCUGAUAAGGCUUUCUAUGACCCACAAGUAUAGAAGUUUCAAUAAACAGUAGAGAUGCAGGUAUGUAUAGAUACACCCAGCAUAGAUAUCUAAUGUAGUUCUUGUACUAAUUAUUACAAUAGGAUUCACCAAAAUUUUAAAAAUUGUUACCUGAUAUAUCCAUGGAUUGAUCUGCUGAUGCACUUCAUCUAGUAUAGAUCCUCGAACAAUUGUGGUUGGUGUCUUGAGAAAUAAGAUAAUAUAUGAAUAUUUAGGAGACAUUUACUACAUUGACAAACUCUUGAUACAUGGGAUAAUUCAAAUUAUCUAAAAAGAAAUAAGUACCUUCUUCUCAGGCUUUAUGGGAAAUGUACCAUUUGGGCGAAAUAUGUAUGCUCCAGAAGCCUUCAACAAUUCAAACAAGUUUCUUGAGAAACUUAUCCAUAAAGUUAGCCAUGGUUAUAAAUUAAACAUCACAAAUUUAUAUGAGAAAGAACUUAUAACUUGAAGCAAGGAUUUGUACCUGAGGAUCAUUACCGCUUCCACUGUCACCAGCAUAGUAACUGUAUGUCUGUUCCAUACUUGCUUUUACCUUGAAAACAGACCACCAAUUAGGGACAUGGAAAGCUUUACAGAGAAAUAAAAAUCAAAUGCUACUGAAUAUUCACAACACAACCAUAAGCUUGGAAAGCUACAAGAACGGUAUCAUGAUUUUCCGUGUCAAAUUUCAAAUAUCAGAUCUAAAAGCGAACUUGUACUGCAAUAUGACAGUUAGUAGAACCUCAAAAACUAAGAGAGAAAAUAAAUAACCAUAAAAAGAUCGAUAAAACACCCAUCUUCUACCAUCAAACAUACCAAGCUUCUGCUAUUCAAGUAAUGAGUGAGUGUUCCAUCUUUCACAUUAUACAGAAGCUUUAAUUUUCCUUUUCCAACUUCGAUGUUGCUGCUCUUACUUUCUUCUGAUGAGUAAAAGGUUGAUACUGAAGCAACUGAACCUGCAACUUUUUCAGCAGAUAGUUCAGAUACAUUUCAUGUCUCUAAAAUGUGUAUAAAUCAUGGUUUGCAAUACCGUACUGUACCGCUCGGUAUAGCUCGGUACAGGUGGUAUGUGCCGGUCCAAUAGAGGACCGGUACGGGAGUUACGUCGGUACACCUUAGUGUAUACCAUGUGUCAAUAUACUAGGUACAACUCGGUAUACCUCAGUAUGUAUCAUACCGACAGUUGAUCGGUACAAUGGUACGGUACGGUAUUCUAUAAACAUAAAAAUAACUUCGCAAAUAGAUAGCUUUACCUUUUCCUUUUGUACUUGAAACAAAGUAUGUAUUAAAACCAAGAGGCGGUACUGAUACUGCAAAAAUAAGCCAAAAUUUGGGUGUGAUACUUGGAGAAAUGCCUAAGUAUGCCUUGACAUGGUGACUUCGUAAGUUGAUUGUAGCAUCUGCUAAAGGCAAAAGCUGAGACUCAAUCUCGUUUCCGUCAGAAUCAUGAACAAUAGAUUCGCUAAUCACCUGCAACAAGUACAAUUACGUAUAAGUUUCUUAAAAUUCAAGAGAUGUUGCAAUACCUUCCUUGCAAUUUCCUAGGACAGAAUCCAUUUAGUCCCAGUUCUUACAUGGUGUUUUGAAGAAAAGGAACAAAGUAGAUCAUCUGCACCCAGUAUGACAUUGUCUUUUGUUGUUAUGAGAAAUCGAUAUAUUGGUAAAAUCGAUAUAUGGUGAUGUAUGGGUCAACAAUUUCCUUACAGGCAAAAGUGAUAAAUAGUACAAGGAACAUAUAUAAUCAAAACUGAUGUAGGCAAGGUUGCACUGGCAUGCUAAUGUAUGAACUAAGAAAUUCAAUCCAAAUCUGAAGCUUCAUCUCUCUAAAAGAUUCUAGUAGACUUGGAAAUGACUAGAAAAAUAAAGAAAUACAUCAGUUAAGGAUGAGUAAUAGGGAAGAAUAAUUACUUACAGGUAUACGAAUAAUGUCAUUCCGCUUCCAUCCAAGAGAAUUGUAGACAAGAACAAUCUAAAAAUAAUAGAUUUAUGGAUUACACGUGAACCCCAAAAAAAAUGAUUUUUCCAUAAGACAUAACCAGAAGAAAUAUCAUAGAAAAAUAUUUGAUAUUAGAACUUACCAUUUUUUUUCCAAGAGACAAAUCUACUUCAGAUGGUGGGCAAUAACUUAUAUUCAGAAGAGGACACUGAAAAGAAGAGAAAAAGAAUAUCCCUUGAAUAUUUUCUUAAACAAAUUGUGAAAAUGACCCUACAAUUUAUUUUUGUACUGUUUCAUGGUGGAGGGACAUGUAAAAAAAUGCUUUUCUUAAGCAUAUACUACAUAAGUGCAUCAAUUCUGCUGAUUUAGUAAAAUAAACUACAUAGUUACUGAAAAACAUAGCACUGGAACAAUAAACUAUAUAGGUAGUGAAACAGCCACAGGAUUUACAGUAAUUCAUGUGCCUUGUUAUUCUCUUAUUCAGAACCAACAUCAUAAUAUGUCUACCGUAGAUGAAAAAUCACAAUAGCACGCUAAUUGUGUGAUUACUAACGUAAAUACUCUUAAUGUAGUAGUGAACAUAGCUUGCAUGCCGAUGUUUAGAACUUCAAUGAAUAAAUUCGAGAAUUAUGUAUUUAGUCCACCAUAACUAUCUAGAGCUAAAAUUUUGAAGGAAAAUAAUGUUCAUUUGCCAUAUCUGACAUUGUUUUAUAGUCAACGGCCCGAGCAUUCUAAUAAAAUCUAAAUGAGACGUACAUAUGCAGAAAGAUAAGACUUAAGAGGAUUAGUAGCAUGAACAAUUGGAAUCACCUAGCAAGAAUAAAAGAAGUUUACCUGUUCAAACUUUGUUGUCGUGUUGUAACAACCAGGACUUGAUAUUGGCUCAGUUAAGCAAGCGAGAGAAGCACCAACUAGCUUUUCAGCCUGUAAGUACCAUUUAAUAUCAAAAAAUUUCCCAUCUUAUAAUUACUAACAGACUGCAUUAACAUGAGUUGAUGUUGUAACCUCUGAAUAGCCUAUAGAGAGUCGCUUUGCAUAAUCAUUUGCUACAUGCUGCUUCUCUGUUCCAGUGACUGCAUCAUGAUGUUGAGCAAUAGCUAGAGCAUCAGCUAGACUGUCAGUAGUGUAGCCUGAACUAUUUCUUUCUGUGAAAAAUUCUAAUUGCCUAGCAGCCUGAUUAUAUUACCACAAAGUUAGGCAUGUUCUCAUCAGCAGAGCAAAAAUUUGAAAUGGCUACAUGUAGAAUACAAAACGAAACUUAAGGUGUUCUACAUACCAGAUAAUAAGCACUCAUCAUUCUCACAUAACCUUUUAUGGCUGGCCUACUGGUGAAGUAUCCAGUCCAGUAUGCGUUUGGAUUAUCUGCAUAACUGAAUGGAUAGGAAUGAAUUUGUCACAUAAAAGAAAAACUAUAUGAGACAAUUGAUAACAUUUCCACAAUUUUCAAGCAUUUCACUCACGGAAAGAAGUCACCAGUCUUCAGAGGCCAAGACUCCUCCAACGCAUAUUUUGCAUCAGUAUAGAUGGAAGGUGUAGAAUACAAGGCAUUAACCCGCCCAUCCUAAAACAUGGAGAAAAAAAGCUCAACUAAUGUGUCUCACAUUUUUUAAAGAGAGAGAAGGAUAUAAAAAGAUGUUUGAUGAAUGGAGAAAGAGUUUUUUAGUAUCAAUUUACAAGAAUGGAUGACAUAUAAAAUUAUUCAAAUUAUAGAGGAAUUAAAAUCAUGAGCCAUAUGAUGAAACUUUAGGAAAGAGUUAUUGAAAGUAGGAUAAGGCUUGAAACAAAUAUCUCUGAAAAUAUAAUUGGGUUUAUGCCUGGAAGAUCAACCAUAAAAUAUAUUUAUUUAUUAAAGUUAUUAAUAAAAAAGUAUUGGGAGAAAAAGAUAGAUUUGUAUAUGAUUUUUAUUGACUUAGAAAAAGCCUAUGAUAAGAUUCCUAGAGAUUUAUUAUGUUGGGUUUUAGAAAACAAAGGUAUAUCCAUUAAUUAUAUUAAUGUUAUUAAAGAGAUGUAUGACAAUGUAGCUACCCAUGUUAGAACUAUAGGGACUGUGUAUAGUUAGUUUCCUAUUAGUAUAGGAUUACAAUAAGGAUCUGCAUUAAGUCCUUACUUUUUCAUAUUGAUAAUGGAUGAACUUAGUAAUCACUAACAUGAUAGACCUCUCUGAUGCAUUUUAUUUAGUGAUUAUAUUAUCUUAGUUGAUGAGAGCCUUAGUGAAAUUAAUUAUAAACUUGAGCUAUAGAGGUAAUCCUCAGAAACUAAAGGUUUUAAAUUAAAUAUGUGAAUAUAUGAGAUGCAAUUUUAGUAAUUCUAAGAAUAAACAAGAGAAUAUAGUUACGUUGGAUGGACAAAAUAAUGAACAGUAUAUAUGACAAAUAAUAUUUGACUUUUUUUGCAUAUCAGUUUCAUAAAUGAGUGGGUCUAGGAUUUUAAACAUAAAAUAUGAAAAUAGGGCAAAAUUAAGCCCUUAAAGGGUAUAUUGGUGAUUAAAAUAUGAUAUAGAAAUAAACAUAGAUGAUACACACUAGUUGAUACAAUUAUAAAAAUAAUUGUACAUUUCAUGGCUAUGGUCAAGAAUAAACAUAGGCAACCAAGGUCUAAUAACUCUUUCGUUACACACUAGUGAAUAGAAACAUUAGAUCAUGACAUCUCAUAAUAUAUAAAAAGGAAUAAUCACAAAAGGAAAGAAUGUAAGAAAUGAAUUUUUUUCUAAAUAGCAAUAUCUAAAGAAAUUACAACUCAACAAGCCAUUUUCUUUAUAAUAUCAGAAAAAAAAUACCUUGUUGACAUAAUGAAUGAAUUUAUCCAACUGCCUAAACCAUGAGUUUGCAUAUUGGUACUUGAAAUCUGUCCCCAUGGUAAACAUUAUAUGAUUUGCUCUGGUAAUGUUUGCCUGAAAAUAUAAAACAAACCUUUUAAUAGCUUGCUUCCUGAGACGAGUUAAAUUGUACAUGAUACUACCUAGUACCUACAAUAUCUCAUGCAAGUAUAGGUAACACAUACAAGUUGGUGUGUAAAAUACCUACACGUGCAUAAUGUACUAUGGUGGAACGUACUAACCAGAGCAUGACAUGGCACAGCAAAAUACUGUAUCACAACAAUCAUUGGACAAGAAAAUGCAGAGCAUACAAUAUCUGAAUAUUGCUACCUAGCUAAGAAAAAGAAGUGGUUGAAAAAUGCAACAUUCCUUAGCCUAUAGCAUAAGUUUCAUAUAUCUGAGGGGUCUAGACGAACCAUCAAUUUAACAAUGAAUUUUGAACAAAGACACUCUUGUUUACACAUUCAGACGUGCAUGUAAACCUGAAAAUACACGUUAUUAGUUGUCAUUUAACUGAUAAUUUCCUGCAACUAUAUAUUGCUAGCAUGUAAAAUUUGAUAGGCCAUAGAAAUUGUUUACUACAUUGUUAGUGAAGAUUACAAUAAAUCUUGAUAACGAACACAACGUAAACUUUAUAGCAAAAAAUCUAAAUUAAGCUCCUUGACUUGUGCAUCUGAUGGAAGUAUUGUAGAUUGUUUGAAAAAAGAGAUGGAAUUUACCACGAGUUGUAAGUAAUGAAAACUGAUAAAAUAUGAUUUGUAUUCACAGCCAGAAAAUAACAAACUAUUUUAAACUACAUGACAUGGCUUCUAUGUCAGAGUUUCGUAUAAAUAAAAUGGGAUGGCAUAUUAAUAUGUCAAUUAUACAAAGGACAUGGGAACUAAAAUUUAGCACACAUCAUAAAAUGAUAGUAUAGGCAUUCAAGAUUUUGUGGAUAUAGUCAACAAUUAAUUUGACAGAUUAUAUCAUUUAAAAAAAAAGCUCAUGAAAAUGUUGUGUUAUAUCUUCUUUAUGACAGAUGUGUAAAUACAGAUAUGAUACAAAGUGCAUUAACGUGUUUAAGGAGUAUCUUGAACUGUCCUGAAAUAUCAAAAUAUCCAGGUGAUCAAAUAUGACAGAAAACCAAAAAUUUGGAGUUUGAGGUUCUGCAAUGGCAGACAAAUCUUAGUACCUCAAUUUUGAAUUUUCAAUUAGCAAACCUGUUUCACAUAACAAAUAGACACAUAAUCAUAACUGGACUAGCCAUGAAUUGGUGUCUGCAUAUAGUUAUGUACUUCAAAUAGUGCAGCAAAUUAAGUUCUGGUUAUCCUAAGGAACUUCAAAAAAAAGGUUAGAGAAGAAAUAAAGAAAGUAUGGAACCACCAAGCUGAUAACACUACCUGUGAUAGAGCUGCAGCAACAAAAUCAUCAACACGCUCUUGAACAUUGUAAUCAAACAAAAGAGGGUCAUCCUUCAUUAGAAAGAAAUACAAUAAUCAGAUACUCUAAAAACACCGAGACACUUAAAUACCAUUCAAACAAAUUACCUGAAUUACAGGAGAAUCAUCGUUUACUUCAAAGUAAAAGCCACCUGGGGGAGGUUCAUAGUUCUUUGGGAAUAUACCAGUGAAAACCUAAACAAAGAAACAUAAUAAGGCACGAAGGAGAAACAGAAUAAUGAAAUAAUCAGGUGCAAGAAUAAAAUAGACUCACAUCCGCAGACAAGCCACGGGACUUAGAAGCCCGCCAUAUAACCUCAAGACUCUUCAGGUCUUUUCGCUUUGCCAGAUCUUGGUAAUCAAUC
rnacentral:lncRNA from 1 species